CGCUGCUUCCUAUAUAUGCUAACUUUUACAAUGUCAAUAGAGCUGAGACGCAGAGAGUUUAUGAAUAAACUUCAAGAAAAGUUUGACAAGAUAUCAGGGCCCAUAUUCUCUAUGGAGGCUAAACCAAAAAUUAGUUACAGUGUUUAACGUAUAACUAAAUUUGGUUGAUAGGAAAGAACUUUGUAUCAUCUUUCAAGUGGUUAUAGGAUCUGCCGUUUUAUAAUAGAAACUAUCCAGAAGCAUGAGACCUCUUUAAAGGUAGAAAAUAGUUUUCGGCACGCUGUUUAUAUUUGGAUCUUCGACGUUUUCCCAUACUCUAGGAAGUUUGGUAUCAAGCAUGAUGGGAUUUCCAGGACCAUUGGCCCAUUGGCUUUAACAACACAACCAGUGAGAAAACAAUGCUAGAGAAUAAGUUACAGUAGCCAUUGGUUAUCACGAGUCUAGACUCACAUGUGGAUGUGUUUUGUGUUUGGGCGUCGCUCCAAGUGUGGCUUCCUCUAGGAUGGUUUGAUUGUAUUGGGAUUUGAUUUGGUUGCUACACUUUCACAUUUUCAAGGCGCAUCAUGAUCAAUAGGCGAUCUCUCACGAGUUAGUAGACUUGUGUUGUGAUCCAACAAACAAUUGAAUAUUUCUCAACUCCUUAUCAAGCCAUUUAUUCAAAAGGAUGCCUCCACAACGAGGGAUGUAGACUAUGGAAUUCUAGGGAGGAUGUCUUGGGGGUGCAUUAUGAAGGGAGGCUUAGUGAUCUGUUUUCAGCCCUGCAGAGGCAACACUUUGGUUCCAAUUGUUUGUUAAAAGAAAAGAAGAGAGCUCCCGUGUGCAGUCAACUUCUUCACGUCUUCACAAGAAUGAGUCCUUGGAUGAGAUUGUUGAAUCAACACUGAGAAAAAACACAUCUCCCCCAAAAUCGUAAAGCAUAUUGUUUGUAGUGCAAAAGAUUUGUUAAGUUUGUACAUAGACUACUUGUUAAACGGAGAAAACCUAUUCCACAGUUACCCUCCAGGCAUACCAAUCGGUCUUCAUGUUCUAAACAAAUUCAAUCUCCAUUCAAUUCGCAUGACCCUUAGAAAUCCCCAAUAGAGUCUAUGUAUAGCGGAUUCCGGCAAAGGAUCGGCGGCUGGUGCCUAGGUCAGCGGCGGCGAACCGUUGUGGAGCUGGUCUGAGAUCACGAAGAGCCACUGAACUUUAAUCAUUUGUAGCAUCAAAUGCUCCGCCUGUAUACUAGGUGUCUAUUCUAUUAAGAACUUUCAACCUUAUUUAUUAAAAACAUAUUGUGCUAUUUACAUGUGCUUCAUGUUCUAUGGAUUAGACUCAAUGUGUGUAAAUGACUAACAAUGGUAUAUAUUCCAUAGGACAGCACGGUUCUUUGA